ACAAGCUGCGGGCCCUUUAAGAGGUGUUUCUCUGGUCUUUUUCCACUCACAAGAGCUCCAUUACUGGACUUCUGGUCCCCUAUGAGGACUUUGAGCUUGGCCAAAGACUGAGUCUUCUUUUCCCUGAGUAGCUCUCAUUAUCCUGCCUUCAGAGAUGACAUGAAAUGUUUCCAGAUGAAAUGAUAAGUCUGAGAUUUGAAAAUAAUGAGGCCACAAUCAUACCACAAGGAUCAAGGGGCAAAUGGUCCCCUGCAGAAGGUUGUGACUGGCGGCUUCAGAAAAAUGAGGUGGAGAUGGAGGACAGUGGCAACCAUCUUUGCACCAGAAGCGCUGGAUAUACACCAGUAUCACCCCCUCGACCCUUGCAGACCUGCGGUGACAGUCAGGGUGCUGGAAGGAAGCAGAGCGCACCCCAGGGUGAAUGGGAGGGGGAUGCUGAAUUAUC